GCGCCAUUAGGCUCAAUUGGCAGAGCAGUGACUCUUAAUCAGCGGGUUCGGGGUUCGAGUCCCUGAUGGCGCACCA
rnacentral:tRNA from 1 species